UUGUCGACCUUGAACCGAAAAGUAAUUUUCAGUGUUAGAUACAAGGAAUCGAAAAAUCAAACCUGUAGUGUAUUCAAUAAAGAUAAGGAUUUGGGAGUGUGAUUCAGAGUUCAGAUUUAAAUCCAAUACCAAGCUGCAGGGAAAAAGAAGAAAAAAAACCAACCCUGUGCACACAUUACGCAUUUGAACGCGAUAACAGUGCAUUUGAGCACUGUCUUGUAAACAAACCAGAUAUAAGUAAGUAAUGUUGAUUGAAAUUGCAUCCUCUCUCUCUCUCUCUCUCUCUCUCUCUCUCUCUCUCUCCAUUGCUUGGAAUGACAUCCUGUAUUAAAACUAUUAGUUUUCAAGAUUACGGGUUAAAGUCAAGUUUACUGUUAUGGAAUUUUAAAAUUUCUUGUGUAAAAUAUUGGAGCUACAUCAUGGUGCUAUUCUUGUUUUCAUAUGAAUUGUGAAAGUUCGAGGUCACUGGAAGGGAAACAUGUUGUGUAAGCAGGAGCGGAUCCAGGAAAUCCAAACUGAAGUAAAUGAAGUGUUUGGCAUGCAUAUACCAUUUAGAAACCUAAACAAAGUUCUGGUCGUGAACUACUCCAUUGCUCAAUAUCUUACUCACUGUACAUUAUCACCGUGGACCAUCGUGACCACGGUGAAAAGAUUCAGUAACGCAGGGUUUCUAAUAUGUAA